GAAAGAUGGUUUCGGCUAUCGCUUACAGAUGGGCCCGCGGUGCAUUAGCUAGUUGGUAGGGUAAUGGCCUACCAAGGCAACGAUGCAUAGCCGACCUGAGAGGGUGAUCGGCCACACUGGGACUGAGACACGGCCCAGACUCCUACGGGAGGCAGCAGUAGGGAAUCUUCCGCAAUGGACGAAAGUCUGACGGAGCAACGCCGCGUGUAUGAAGAAGGUUUUCGGAUCGUAAAGUACUGUUGUUAGAGAAGAACAAGGAUAAGAGUAACUGCUUGUCCCUUGACGGUAUCUAACCAGAAAGCCACGGCUAACUACGUGCCAGCAGCCGCGGUAAUACGUAGGUGGCAAGCGUUGUCCGGAUUUAUUGGGCGUAAAGCGCGCGCAGGCGGUCUUUUAAGUCUGAUGUGAAAGCCCCCGGCUUAACCGGGGAGGGUCAUUGGAAACUGGAAGACUGGAGUGCA
rnacentral:rRNA from 1 species